rnacentral:lncRNA from 1 species
CCAAGCGGCAGCUCAAAAGUGGCUUACAGGUGGUAGUGUGUGGACACUUGUGUUCCGAUCCCACAUCUAAUCCAUAUUAAAAGUCAAUUGUGGAAGCACAUUUUCUGGCCUUUAAGGUAAACUGAGGUACUAGCAUUCAGGAGCUGCUUUUAAGCCACUGUUCCAUUUUAUUUAUUUUUUUAAUUGCGUGCAGACGCAGCCUAGAAGCUAACAGGCUUCCAGAUGAGGCCAAAAAUUCAGAUUUCUUGCUCCCAGCCCCCAAACCCUCCUGUUACACCAGGGGCAAAUUGUUACACCCAGGACCCAGGCUAAUGGGGUGCAGGAAGGGUGUCGUAGGUUCAUAACCAAAUUGAAGCACCCCUCCCUCUCUUCCGGGGAAGCACCUGGGACCCUACGCUAAUGGGGUACGGGAAGGGUGUCCUACAGUCAGGGAGCAAAGAUCAGCCAAGAAGUUGCUACCUUGGCCCCCGGUCCCUUCUGUUGUCUCCCCGCCCUUUGCUGAUCCCAGAGGAGACCGAAGGGUCCACCUGUGCGGAACGAUCAUCGCAAUAUUCACAAAUCUCAGAGCAAGAGCGAACGUUUAGGAAACACGCAGCCAUUAGAAUCCGAAGCACAAAUUUCAGCAGGCACCCUGAACUUUCAGUGCACUUGGUUCCUGGCUCCUAGGGUUGUAGGUUUUUGUUUUGCUUUGUGUUGAUUUUAAGAAUGUAUUAUAGAUACUGGUUUUCAAGUUCACAUUUUAGCCGAAAUGUUUAUUCUUUUCAGGACAUUGGCGGAGCGAUGAAUCCCUUAGAAACUGCCAUACUGUUCCAGCUGCUUUUCAUAGGCACAGGUGUCUUUGCAAAAUAAAGAAUAAAAAUACGGCCACCUUCCGAACCCAUGCAGACUCCACGUGCAGGAUCGUGCCUGGAGGCCAGAUCUGCCAUUAAUGCCCCUGUGACCAACUGUGGUGGCCAAGUCUUGAAUGCCAUGCCAGCAUAUCUGUCUAAGAGUGAUCAACCCCACUUGAGACCAUGCAAGAAAGGUGUAUCGGCAGUGCCCAAACAUCAACAGCUUCUUGGACAUCUUCNCAUAAGAUCCACCGGCUAUCAACCAUACAAGUAUCAGAAAGACAAAGCAGGAAAUGCAGAGUCCCACAGUGCUGUGUAUGGCUUCAGCUGGAAUUUCAGAAAAUUCCAUUCUGUUCCACAAUCUCUGGACUUCGAGACAGUGG